rnacentral:lncRNA from 1 species
GGCCAGAAUCCCGGUUUCUCGGUCCGGGGAGUGGGAGGAUGGAGGAAGCGAGGGAGGAAGGAGAGAAGGAAAAGGAGUUAAGGAAGGCAAUAAGAAUAGAGGAGGCAUGAACACACAAGAACUUGGGAAGAGAGGAAUGUGAGCUGUGAAAAACCAAGCAGAAGUGUUUCCAUCUCAAUGGCACUAUGAGCUGGAGAAGUCAUAGGAAACCAAAGCACUCAAGAGGAGACACAGCUAUCAAGAACUCCUGUCCACCGGGCAUUGGUGGAAGGAGAUGAAGCCAUUUUUACCAACCUGAACCUUUUUUCCGUGGGGCACUAUACAGCUUAACCUAUGAACUCUGUCGAGCCGUUGAGGGCUCCUAAACAAUUUCUUAGCACGGAGUUCCUCUUUUCAGCAAACCCUGCUUCUCACUGAGUACAGAGUCGAAGCAAUCCUACAGCACUAACAUUUCAAUUGUUGCAUAUGGAGCCCAGUACAUAAAGGACUCCCCAAAGAGAGCGGUUUAUAACUGGAUUAUAGCUGCUCCACACAUUUAACUUUCCAUGAAUAGUUUCUGACGUUUUGAAGCACCCCAAGUCAUAACUUUUCUAUCCACGCAUGUAGGAAAGCAGUCACUGAUUGUGCGUUUCUUCAUUGACCAGAAUACAAACAUGGAUGAGACUGUUAGCACCCAUGGUAUCUGAGGGAGAACUUACAGAAUUUGUUUACCUAUGUUAUAUAUAAGACAAUAGAUUGUAUAUACAAAUAUAGAAAACAUUUCACUUGUUUGUAUGUGCACUAUAUGUAUUUUGAGUGCAGAUCAAGUAUGUAAUGGUCCCACUUAUUAUUAGUUUCAUUUUUUUACAAUUUCAUAACUGUGGCCUAAAAAUAGUAGGUGGAAAAUUUUAGAAGCAAUCCACACAUAUGUGUUAAAUUACACGACAUUUUGAGUACCGGGAUAAAUUCUCAUUCUGUAUUGCUUCUUCUUGCCCAAAAUAUAACUCAUUUCUCUGGUCAGUGCAUCUGCUCUGUAUAUCUUGCCUGCUACCUCCAUGAUCAGAACCAUUUAGGAACAGUGUAGGGUCUGUAUUCAAAUCAACCUGUUAUGCUUAGCAGUGUCUCAGUCAUGAUACUGAAAACUGAAUAUGUUAGAGAAAAAUUGGCUAGUGUCUUCUUCAAGUGAAAUGUAAAGGUCUCCACUUGAGGGGGGUUUUAUAGAGCUAUCAUGUUGUUAAAUCAUAUACUAGGCAUGUUUUAUAAAUUAACCUAUGUUAUAGAUAUGUAUGUACAAGAGAAAAGCAUGGUGCAUAUAGGGGCUGGUAUUAUUUGUGAUUUCUGAUAUUCACUGUAUUCUUGGAACACAGAAUUGUAUACCAUUGGCUUUCCCCAACCCUAAUGUUGUAUGUUUAAUGGAGACUUUGUUCUGUGACUAUUAAUCAAGUUCUGAACUCUA